UUUGUUUCGGCAGAAUCCUAGUGGCGAACGGGUGAGUAACGCGUAGGCAACCUGCCCUCCGGCCGGGGACAACACUCCGAAAGGGGUGCUAAUACCGGAUACGAAGUCUGUGCCGCAUGGUACGGAUUUGAAAGAUGGCCUCUAUUUAUAAGCUAUCGCCGGGGGAUGGGCCUGCGUCCGAUUAGCUGGUUGGUGGGGUAACGGCCUACCAAGGCGACGAUCGGUAGCCGGUCUGAGAGGAUGGACGGCCACAUUGGGACUGAGACACGGCCCAGACUCCUACGGGAGGCAGCAGUGGGGAAUCUUCCGCAAUGGGCGCAAGCCUGACGGAGCAACGCCGCGUGAGUGAGGAAGUUCUUCGGAACGUAAAGCUCUGUUGUUCCUGACGAACCUCCCUUCUAUCAACAACGGAAGGGACUGACGGUAGGGAACGAGGAAGCCACGGCUAACUACGUGCCAGCAGCCGCGGUAAUACGUAGGUGGCAAGCGUUGUCCGGAAUUAUUGGGCGUAAAGCGCAUGUAGGCGGUAAUUUAAGUCUGUCGUGAAACUGCGGGGCUCAGCCCCGUAUGGCGAUGGAAACUGGGUUACUUGAGUGCAGGAGAGGAAAGGGGAACUCCCAGUGUAGCGGUGAAAUGCGUAGAUAUUGGGAAGAACACCGGUGGCGA
rnacentral:rRNA from 1 species